rnacentral:rRNA from 1 species
GACGAACGCUGGCGGCGUGCCUAAUACAUGCAAGUCGAACGCAGUGGGGACGGGUGAGUAACACGUGGGUAACCUCCCAUCAGAGGGGAUAACACUUGGAAACAGGUGCUAAACCGAUACUGAUGGAUGGACCCGCGGUGCAUUAGCUACUUGGUGAGGUAACGGCUCAUCAAGGCCACGAUGCAUAGCCGGCCUGAGAGGGGGAUCGACCACACUGGGACUGAGACACGGCCCAGACUCCUACGGGAGGCAGCAGUGGGGAAUCUUCGGCAAUGGGCGAAAGUCUGACCGAGCAACGCCGCGUGAAUGAAGAAGGUUUUCGGGUCGUAAAGCUCUGUUGUUAGAGAGGCGGUAUCUAAAGAGGAAGCAACGGCUAACUACGUGCCAGCAGCCGCGGUAAUUC